rnacentral:tRNA from 1 species
GGGGCUGUAGCUCAGUGGUUAGAGCAGCUGGCUCAUAACCGGUUGGUCGCGGGUUCGAUCCCUGCCAGCCCCA